UACGUAGGGUCCGAGCGUUGUCCGGAGUUACUGGGCGUAAAGCGCGCGCAGGCGGCCUCGCGCGCCCGACGUGAAAGCCCCCCGGCUUAACCGGGGAGGGUCGUUGGGGACGGCGGGGCUUGAGGGCGGGAGAGGGUGGUGGAAUUCCCGGUGUAGUGGUGAAAUGCGUAGAGAUCGGGAGGAACACCCGUGGCGAAGGCGGCCACCUGGGCCGGACCCUGACGCUGAGGCGCGAAGGCGUGGGGAGCGAACGGG
rnacentral:rRNA from 1 species